UACGUAGGUGGCAAGCGUUGUCCGGAUUUAUUGGGUUUAAAGGGUGCGUAGGCGGUUCCAUAAGUCAGUGGUGAAAUACGGCAGCUCAACUGUCGAGGUGCCAUUGAUACUGCGGAACUUGAGUACUGAUGAGGUAGGCGGAAUUGACGGUGUAGCGGUGAAAUGCUUAGAUAAUCGUCAAGAACACCGAUAGCGAAGGCAGCUUACCAAGCAGUAACUGACGCUGAGGCACGAAAGAUGC
rnacentral:rRNA from 1 species